CGGCCGCGGUAUCUUGACCGUGCAAAGGUAGCGUAAUCACCUGUCUUUUAAAUGAAGACCUGUAUGAAUGGCAAAACGAAGGCUUAACUGUCUCCUUCCCCCAGUCAAUGAAAUUGAUCUCCCCGUGCAGAAGCGGGGAUACUAACAUAAGACGAGAAGACCCUGUGGAGCUUUAGACCCGCCGACAGUCCGUGUAAAGCCCCUUGAUUAAGAGAAGAAACAAACCAGCCCCUGUCGCAAUGUCUUUGGUUGGGGCGACCCCGGAGAAAUAAAAAACCCCCGAGCGGAAUGAAGACACCUUAUACCUCAUAGGCAAGAGCCGCAACUCGCAAAAUCAGAAUCUCUGACCCAAAGAUCCGAUAUAAUCGAUCAACGGACCCAGUUACCCCAGGGAUAACAGCGCAAUCCUCUUUCAGAGCCCCUAUCGACAAGAGGGUUUACGACCUCG
rnacentral:rRNA from 1 species